GAGUUUGAUCUUGGCUCAGGAUGAACGCUAGCGGGAGGCUUAACACAUGCAAGUCGAGGGGCAUCACGGGGUAGCAAUACUCUGGUGGCGACCGGCGCACGGGUGAGUAACGCGUAUGUAACCUGUCCUUUACAGGAGGAUAACCCGGAGAAAUUCGGACUAAUACUGCAUAAUAUUAUUUUAAGGCAUCUUAGAAUAAUUAAAACUACGGUGGUAAAGGAGGGGCAUGCGUAACAUUAGCUGGUUGGUAGGGUAACGGCCUACCAAGGCAAUGAUGUUUAGGGGACCUGAGAGGGUGACCCCCCACACUGGUACUGAGACACGGACCAGACUCCUACGGGAGGCAGCAGUGAGGAAUAUUGGUCAAUGGGCGAGAGCCUGAACCAGCCAUCCCGCGUGAAGGAAGAAGGCGCUAUGCGUUGUAAACUUCUUUUUCAGGGGGAUAAAAUUCUGUAUGUAUAUGGAACUGAAGGUACCCUGAGAAUAAGCAUCGGCUAACUCCGUGCCAGCAGCCGCGGUAAUACGGAGGAUGCGAGCGUUAUCCGGAUUUAUUGGGUUUAAAGGGUGCGUAGGCGGAAUAAUAAGUCAGUGGUGGAACCCUGCAGCUUAACUGUAGACUUGCCAUUGAUACUGUUUUUCUUGAGUAUGGUCAAGGCAGGCGGAAUGUGUAAUGUAGCGGUGAAAUGCUUAGAUAUUACACAGAACACCGAUAGCGAAGGCAGCUUGCUGGGCCGUUACUGACGCUGAUGCACGAAAGCGUGGGGAUCGAACAGGAUUAGAUACCCUGGUAGUCCACGCCGUAAACGAUGAUCACUAGCUGUUGGCGAUACACCGAUCAGCGGCAAAGCAAAAGCAUUAAGUGGUCCACCUGGGGAGUACGGCCGCAAGGCUGAAACUCAAAGGAAUUGACGGGGGCCCGCACAAGCGGAGGAACAUGUGGUUUAAUUCGAUGAUACGCGAGGAACCUUACCUGGGCUUAAAUGUAGAGUGCAUUGAGAGGAAACUUUCAUUUUCUUCGGAACUCUUUACAAGGUGCUGCAUGGUUGUCGUCAGCUCGUGCCGUGAGGUGUCGGGUUAAGUCCCAUAACGAGCGCAACCCUUAUCGUUAGUUGCCAGCGGGUAAUGCCGGGAACUCUAGCGAAACUGCCGGUGUAAACCGAGAGGAAGGUGGGGAUGACGUCAAAUCAGCACGGCCCUUAUGUCCAGGGCUACACACGUGUUACAAUGGCCGGUACAGAGGGCAGCUACCUGGAGACAGGAUGCGAAUCUCGAAAGCCGGUCUCAGUUCGGAUCGGAGUCUGCAACCCGACUCCGUGAAGCUGGAUUCGCUAGUAAUCGCGCAUCAGCCAUGGCGCGGUGAAUACGUUCCCGGGCCUUGUACACACCGCCCGUCAAGCCAUGGAAGUUGGGGGUACCUGAAGUCCGUAACCGCAAGGAGCGGCCUAGGGUAAAACCAGUGACUGGGGCUAAGUCGUAACAAGGUAACCGUA
rnacentral:rRNA from 1 species